rnacentral:rRNA from 1 species
GAUAAACGCUGGCGGCGCACAUAAGACAUGCAAGUCGAGCGAACAGAUGAGAAGCUUGCUUCUCUGAUGUUAGCGGCGGACGGGUGAGUAACACGUGGGUAACCUACCUAUAAGACUGGGAUAACUCCGGGAAACCGGGGCUAAUACCGGAUAAUAUUUUGAACCGCAUGGUUCAAUAGUGAAAGACGGUUUCGGCUGUCACUUAUAGAUGGACCCGCGCCGUAUUAGCUAGUUGGUAAGGUAACGGCUUACCAAGGCGACGAUACGUAGCCGACCUGAGAGGGUGAUCGGCCACACUGGAACUGAGACACGGUCCAGACUCCUACGGGAGGCAGCAGUAGGGAAUCUUCCGCAAUGGGCGAAAGCCUGACGGAGCAACGCCGCGUGAGUGAUGAAGGUCUUCGGAUCGUAAAAUUCUGUUGUUAGGGAAGAACAAAUUUGUUAGUAACUGAACAAGUCUUGACGGUACCUAACCAGAAAGCCACGGCUAACUAUGUGCCAGCAGCCGCGGUAA